AUUGAACGCUGGCGGCAUGCCUUACACAUGCAAGUCGAACGGUAACGGGCCUUCGGGUGCCGACGAGUGGCGAACGGGUGAGUAAUGUAUCGGAACGUACCUUUCAGUGGGGGAUAACGUAGCGAAAGUUACGCUAAUACCGCAUAUUCUGUGAGCAGGAAAGCAGGGGAUCGCAAGACCUUGCGCUGAUUGAGCGGCCGAUAUCAGAUUAGCUAGUUGGGUAGGUAAAGGCUCACCAAGGCGACGAUCUGUAGCGGGUCUGAGAGGAUGAUCCGCCACACUGGAACUGAGACACGGUCCAGACUCCGACGGGAGGCAGCAGUGGGGAAUUUUGGACAAUGGGGGCAACCCUGAUCCAGCCAUGCCGCGUGAGUGAAGAAGGCCUUCGGGUUGUAAAGCUCUUUCGGCCGGGAAGAAAUCGUAUCAGCUAAUACCUGGUGCGGAUGACGGUACCGGCAUAAGAAGCACCGGCUAACUACGUGCCAGCCGCCGCCGUAACAC
rnacentral:rRNA from 1 species